GCCUGCUUGGCCAAGUGGUAAGGCGUCAGUCUUGUACUUGUUAUGCUCACGUGUAACUGCAAAAAAACUGAAGAGCGCUGGUUCGAUCCCGGCAGUAGGCA